rnacentral:rRNA from 1 species
AGAGUUUGAUUCUGGCUCAGAUUGAACGCUGGCGGCAUGCCUUACACAUGCAAGUCGAACGGCAGCAUGAUCUAGCUUGCUAGAUUGAUGGCGAGUGGCGAACGGGUGAGUAAUACAUCGGAACGUGCCCUGUAGUGGGGGAUAACUAGUCGAAAGAUUAGCUAAUACCGCAUACGACCUGAGGGUGAAAGUGGGGGACCGCAAGGCCUCAUGCUAUAGGAGCGGCCGAUGUCUGAUUAGCUAGUUGGUGGGGUAAAGGCCCACCAAGGCGACGAUCAGUAGCUGGUCUGAGAGGACGAUCAGCCACACUGGGACUGAGACACGGCCCAGACUCCUACGGGAGGCAGCAGUGGGGAAUUUUGGACAAUGGGCGAAAGCCUGAUCCAGCAAUGCCGCGUGUGUGAAGAAGGCCUUCGGGUUGUAAAGCACUUUUGUCCGGAAAGAAAUGGCUCUGGUUAAUACCUGGGGUCGAUGACGGUACCGGAAGAAUAAGGACCGGCUAACUACGUGCCAGCAGCCGCGGUAAUA